rnacentral:rRNA from 1 species
AUGGAAUUGAAGAGAACUUCUACCGAUGACGCCAAGAUUAAGAGCGACACAAAAUCUUUGGCUAGCAAGAAGUUGCAGUCUAAGUUUGUGUGCGUUGAUGUUACUCUUAAACAGAUUGAAGGUGCCAUCUCAUAUUUUAAGAAGUACAGAAAUGACGGCUUUGCAACUAGUCUGGAUAUUGCGAGAUCUAUUAUUUGA